CCAUCGUCCCCUCUUCAUGGAAGCACAUGUCGCCCGGCUCUUGUGAUCCUCCUCUUCCUCUUCCUCGUCUCUAAUUCCAAUCCGGUCUCCAUUUCGGAUCCAAAGCGGACAACAUGAUUGCCACAGUAAGUGAUCCCCAUCUCGAAUCUCAUAUCUCCUCUCCCUUUUCGUCCUCCUCGCAGCAAUCGAGUGAUCUCUGGACGCAGCGGUUUAUCGAUCUCUUCCUGGCCUUGUCGGUCUCUUUUCGGGGUGGAUUCGAUGGUUUCUUUUCUUGCUGAGGUUACAAAGCCGGAAUCGGUCGAUAAACCUCUGCAUCCGGACUUCCGCCGACAACCAUUCCUCCGUCCUCCCCCCAACCCAAAACACUCCCCCCCCAACCCCACCUUCUUCCUCCACUUGUUUUCGUCAUCUUAUAUAAUGAUUGGGCAAUGAAGAGGUGGUAGCUGUUAGGGCUAAUUGAUACGGCCGAUUCGAUGCCGAUUUCGAUCCCUUUUUUUUACUCAGAUUAUUGUCGGCAUUCUGCAGAAUUUCAAUCAACGAAUAAUGGUGCCAUCAGCAUUUAGAUCGAUUCAAAAUGGGUGACGUCUUGAGUUGUGAUGAUGGACAGAGAAAACAGUAAAUAUGUUUGAUUUAAUGUCUCUCAGUUCUUUCUUAUGCCUUCAAUUUUUCAUUGUUCUUUUGGAUUCGUUUAUCAUUUCAUUAUCUUCACCAUUUGAUCUAUCCAUAUUUUGGAUUAUUCACUGAAUAGGACGUAAAUGUUUUGUAUUAAACAGACAGCAGAGGACUACUAGAAAUCUUUAUUUACAGAAACUACCAUUAUUGGUUAAUUCGUCAAGGAUGAGAGGUCGGAAUAUACUCUGAGAUGGCUUAAACUUUGCUUUGGGAGGACUAAAUGGGGAAAAUAAGCUCAACUGGUCAAAUUAAUGUGACAGGAUGGCACAGUUUUUAUGAAGAUGAUUGAGAUAUAUUCCAUAUUUUGAUGUUUAAACAGUUAGCCUCAGAAAUAUUUUUCAUUUAAUUUAUUCCUUCUACCAAGAUUUGUUGUUCUCCAUGGAUGUGAACCUCCCUAUAUUUGUUAUGUUUGCAAUGCUUGAAGGUGAAUCUGUAUAAAGAAUUUAAACAUAAAUAUUUUUCUAACAUUUAGCCACACGAAUAUUUUUCAUUUAAUUAAUUCCUUUUACCCAGAUUCCUUGUUCUACAUGCAUGUGAACAUCUCUAUAUUUGUUAUGUUUGCAAUGCUUGAAGGUGAAUCUGUAUAAAGAAUUUAAACAUAAAUAUUCUUCUGAC
rnacentral:lncRNA from 1 species